rnacentral:antisense_RNA from 1 species
UUUGAUCGACCCCAGCCACAUCGGGCUGCCCGGCGGCCGGUCCUGCCCGUAGGUCGCCAGGAUCGCCUGCGCCUC